GCACCGGUGGUGCCUGAUGCACGCCGCCCUUCAUGAUCAUUUCAAACCGUUUCAGGCAGAACCUGGCAGAUCGGGGUUCGAUUCCCCGCCGGUGCA